GCAGGUACANCGGGAAGCGACCGAGCGAUCGGCAGCGGAACCCGAAAAACCCUGUCUCAGUUCGGAUCGGAGUCUGCAACCCGACUCCGUGAAGCUGGAUUCGCUAGUAAUCGCGAAUCAGAAUGUCGCGGUGAAUACGUUCCCGGGUCUUGUACACACCGCCCGUCACACCAUGGGAGUCAGCAACGCCCGAAGCCGGUGACCCAACCGAAAGGAGGGAGCCGUCGAAGGUGGGGCCGAUAACUGGGGUGAAGUCGUAACAAGGUAAC
rnacentral:rRNA from 1 species